rnacentral:tRNA from 1 species
UAGGGUAUAGCAUAAUUGUAAUGCAUUUCAGUUACAUUGAAAUAGAUAGCUUGAUUGGUAAGUUUACCCUAA